UUGCAGUGAUGUCUUGAAUUUCUUCACCUGAACUUUUUUGUAGAACACCUUUUCAAAACUGAGCAUU